CCCGUUGGUCAAGUGGUUAAGACACCGCCCUUUCACGGCGGUAACACGGGUUCGAAUCCCGUACGGGUCA
rnacentral:tRNA from 7 species